rnacentral:misc_RNA from 1 species
GGCUGGAUCACCUCCUUUUGAGCAUGACAGCUACGCCUGUCAGGCGUCCUCACAAGUCACCUGCAUUCAGAGAGUUCCGCCACAGGGCGGGCACCCCGAUUUCGGGGCCAUAGCUCAGCUGGGAGAGCACCUGCUUUGCAAGCAGGGGGUCGUCGGUUCGAUCCCGACUGGCUCCACCAGAUUGCAGAUCCCUCUGCAAGCGCCCGCACAUCGGUGUGCGGACUGUCUAAGGGAACUGCGAGAGCCAAGACUUUGGGUCUGUAGCUCAGUGGUUAGAGCGCACCCCUGAUAAGGUGAGUCGGUGGUUCAAGUCCUCCAAACCCACCACUCUGAAUGUAUGAACACACGAAGGAUUUAGAAUGCGCCAGCAGUGAGCUGGCGUGUCUUUAAAAUUGUGACGUACGAAGCGGGGACUUCAAGUCCUAGAGUUGAGUUCGUAUAAACGCGUCCGGGCGUUGGUACCCCAGUUAGACCUGAGGCAACUUAGGUUAUA